UAGGGAAUCUUCCACAAUGGACGCAAGUCUGAUGGAGCAACGCCGCGUGAGUGAAGAAGGUUUUCGGAUCGUAAAGCUCUGUUGUUGGUGAAGAAGGAUAGAGGUAGUAACUGGCCUUUAUUUGACGGUAAUCAACCAGAAAGUCACGGCUAACUACGUGCCAGCAGCCGCGGUAAUACGUAGGUGGCAAGGGUUGCCCGGAUGUAUUUGGCGUAAAGCGAGCGCAGGCAGAAGGAUAAGUCUGAUGUGAAAGCCCUCGGCUUAACCGAGGCACUGCAUCGGAAACUGUUUUUCUUGAGUGCAGAAGAGGAGAGUGGAAUUCCAUGUGUAGCGGUCGAAUGCGUAGAUAUAUGGAAGAACACCAGUGGCGAAGGCGACUCUCUGGUCUGCAACUGACGCUGAGGCUCGAAAGCAUGGGUAGCGAACAGG
rnacentral:rRNA from 1 species